rfam:Pelosinus fermentans B4 ctg36, whole genome shotgun sequence.
CUAUCCUUUAAGCUAAUCCAGAGAGUUUAGCAAGGAUGUUUGUUUGGCACAAGCUUGUCUUGUUGUUAUUGAAACUCCUUGCGUAUAUAGUAAGGAGUUUUUUAUAU